UACGUAGGGACCAAGCGUUGUUCGGAUUUACUGGGCGUAAAGGGCGCGUAGGCGGCUUGUUAAGUCACUUGUGAAAUCUCUGAGCUUAACUCAGAACGGUCAAGUGAUACUGAUGUGCUAGAGUGCAGAAGGGGCAACCGGAAUUCUUGGUGUAGCGGUGAAAUGCGUAGAUAUCAAGAGGAACACCUGAGGUGAAGACGGGUUGCUGGGCUGACACUGACGCUGAGGCGCGAAAGCUAGGGUAGCAAACGGG
rnacentral:rRNA from 1 species